UUUUUAUAGGAAAAAAAAAAUUAAUCCAAUGGACAUAAAAUACUUUUGAUGAUGUCAUCAAGAAAAUUAUAUUGGCAACUCUUCCUUUAACAGUUAUUAUCUAUUUAAACAAUACAUCCAUUAACAAACAUACCUUUUCAUAACUUAAAAAAAUAUAAUAGCAACUUUUCCUCUAUUUAAACAACACAUCUCUUAACAACAUACCUUUUCAUAAUUUUAUUUUAUAUAUAUUAUUUAAAAAAUCAAAGAGUUACAAUCUGGCCGUCAUAAUUGUAUGUUUCUUUUAUCUAAUGGUCCUAAAACUAUUUUGGUUUAAAUAUCUUGUUUCUUGUUGUAACUCCCUCUAAAGAGUUUUCUUUUCAAACAACACAUACCUUCUUUUCUUGAGUAGCCUUUGAUGUACCUCUUCAUGAUCUAUAUAUUUUACUUUUUACAGCUGAAAUGUUUUACAGAAUCGUUUAGUAAAACUGAAAAUCGUAAAUUGAAUACAAAAACAAUUGAUAAGAGAAAACCCUAAACACCCCGAGAAAAAAAAGGGGACUACAUAAUACAUGUUUUAUUCUCCAUGUACCUCUGUCUCUUGGUUUUGCACUUUCUCUCUCUAUCGCUUCUUUGUAAAUAAGAAUUACGUUUGUGUCGGUAAUAAAACCAUACGUAACAUAUAAGCCACCGUGAUAAACGUAAUAGAAGGGUUUAGAUUCCUUUGUUCAUCAAAGGGAAUCAUAAAGGAUUGAAGGCCAAAGAGAGAAGAAGAUAAAGGAUUGAGUACACGUUUUUUCUAUCAAUCUUAAAGCUUUCAUCUCUCUCCUACACAACUCAACCUCAAGGUUCCUAAAUAUAUGUUUAUUUUUCAUUCUACUUUCUUUGUGUUUGGUUUGGAACUUAUCUGAUUUAAUGUCUUUGAAAGUGAUUGGGGACGAACUUUUUCUGUAUCGAAUUAUAACUUUUUCAAUUUGAUCUGUAAAACUCUGUGAUGGCACAUCGUUACAGUUAUCAAUUAGUGGCUUGAUUUAUAUAGAAAACCAUUUUUUUGUUAGCCGCUGACGUCAUCAGUUUUUUAUAGGAAAAAAAAAUUAAUCCAAUGGUCAGAAUUUGUUUUUUUCUUUGAUCUAACGGACAUAAAAUACUUUUGAUGAUGUCAACAAGAAAAUUAUAUUGGCAACUCUUCCUUUAACAGUUAUUAUCAAUUUAAACAACACAUGCAUUAACAAACAUACCUUUUCAUAACUUAAAAAAAUAUAAUAGCAACUCUUCCUUAAGCAGUUAUCUAUUUAAACAACACAUCUCUUAACAACAUACCUUUUCAUAAUUUUAUUUUAUAUAUAUUAUUUAAAAAAUCAAAGAGUUACAAUCUGGCCGUCAUAAUUGUAUGUUUCUUUUAUCAAAUGGUCCUAAAACUAUUUUGGUUUAAAUAUCUUGUUUCUUGUUGUAACUCCUUCUAAAGAGUUUUCUUUUCAAACAACACAUACCUUCUUGAGUAGCCUUUGAUGUACCUCUUCAUAAUCUAUAUAUUUUACUUUUUACGGCUGAAAUGUUUUACAAAAUCGUUUAGUAAAACUGAAAAUCGUAAUACAAAAACAAUUGAUAAGAGAAAACCCUAAAUACCACGAGAAAAAAAAGGGGACUACAUAAUACAUGUUUUAUUCUCUCUGUACCUCUGUCUCUUGGUUUUGCGCUUUCUCUCUCUAUCGCUUCUUUAUAAAUAAGAAUUACGUUUGUGUCGGUAAUAAAACCAUACGUAACAUAUAAGCCACCGUGAUAAACGUAAUAGAAGGGUUUAGAUUCCUUUGUUCAUCAAAGGGAAUCAUAAAGGAUUGAAGGCCAAAGAAAGAAGAAGAUAAAGGAUUGAGUACACGUUUUUUAUAUCACUCUUAAAGCUUUCAUCUCUCUCCUACACAACUCAACCUCAAGAUAUGUCUAGAGUAUUUGAAGAACAUAGCUGAGUCACGGAAUAGCCAAGUUACGGGAAGAACAAGAUCAAGUGAACAAACGUUGGAAAAUUCAUAAAAGUGUGUUUUUUUUGUUCAUUAUGUUAUGGAGAUGGGUUCAUUGUGGUCAUUACUCUUUUUUGAAUCAUUCAUUUUUUCCUUUCACUUUACGGUGUGAAGCUUACUGAGUGAACAUUUUUUGUAGCAAUCAUUUUUUUUUUCGUCUUGUGUAAUGGAAUUGGGUUAAUGAAUCCAUAAAAAUAUAUGAAAAUACAUUAAUAAGUGUGUUUUGAAGCUUUAUAAGAAGAUGAGUUGGCCAUAUAUAAACAUGGAAAAGGGAAGAGAAAAAUAAAAUGUAAAACUAAUACACAAUUAAUCUAUGAACAA